rnacentral:lncRNA from 12 species
GCUCUCAGCUCUGUUUAAGAGGCCCCUUUGGGUGAAUAAACACUGCUGUGAUCUGCAGCAGCUUUUCCUGAGCCCUGACUGAGGAGGAAGGUGGCUCUUGGUGCUGGGCUGGUGGAUGUGCUCCUGAGAUGCUGCUGGAGGGCUGAGCACACCUGGGUGGUCCUGACCUCAAGGCAGGGGUCUGGGGCAGGCUGCAUCCUCCUGCUUGCAGGUAAUUCCUGCUGCUGCCAUUCAGCUGUGAGCCCUGGGUCACGGUGCAGACGGG